AGUGAACGCUGGCGGUAGGCCUAACACAUGCAAGUCGAACGGCAGCACAGUAAGAGCUUGCUCUUACGGGUGGCGAGUGGCGGACGGGUGAGGAAUACAUCGGAAUCUACUUUUUCGUGGGGGAUAACGUAGGGAGACUUACGCUAAUACCGCAUACGACCUACGGGUGAAAGCAGGGGAUCUUCGGACCUUGCGCGAUUGAAUGAGCCGAUGUCGGAUUAGCUAGUUGGCGGGGUAAAGGCCCACCAAGGCGACGAUCCGUAGCUGGUCUGAGAGGAUGAUCAGCCACACUGGAGCUGAGACACGGUCCAGACUCCUGCGGGGGGCAGCAGUGGGGAAUAUUGGACAAUGGGCGCAAGCCUGAUCCAGCCAUACCGCGUGGGUGAAGAAGGCCUUCGGGUUGUAAAGCCCUUUUGUUGGGAAAGAAAAGCAGCAGGUUAAUACCCCGCUGUUCUGACGGUACCCAAAGAAUAAGCACCGGCUAACUUCGUG
rnacentral:rRNA from 1 species